rnacentral:rRNA from 1 species
GACGAACGCUGGCGGCGUGCCUAAUACAUGCAAGUCGAACGCAGUGGGGAUGGGUGAGUAACACCUGGGUAACCUCCCAUCAGAGGGGAUAACACUUGGAAACAGGUGCAAAACCGAUAUUGGAGGAGGGACUCGCGGUGCAUUAGCCAGUUGGUGAGGUAACGGCUCACCAAGGCCACGAUGCAUAGCCGGCCGGAGAGGAUGAUCGGCCACACUGGAACUGAGACACGGCCCAGACUCCUACGGGAGGCAGCAGUGGGGAAUCUUCGGCAAUGGACGAAAGUCUGACCGAGCAACGCCGCGUGAGUGAAGAAGGUUUUCGGAUCGUAAAACUCUUUUGUUAGAGAGGCGGUAUCUGACCAGAAAGCCACGGCUAACUACGUGCCAGCAGCCGCGGUAAUUC